AAUUUGCAACUAGCAAAUCGAGUAUAUUAAUAUAAGGAUGAUAUUGCUUUCAUAAAAUAUUACCAAAAAUGAUCAACAUGAGUUAGUUGCACCGUACAUCAAUGAUAUAAGCUAGCCACAAUAUAAUGUUCAUAAACAUUUAGCAAAAAAUUACAUAUCACUAAUAUCCCUCGAUUGUAAUGUAAAAUUUUCUUGACAUUCCUAGCAAAAAGAUGGUCAAUCCGUAAUUGCCAAAAAUCUGCUUCUUGUAAAACCUGUAGAAGAAAUAAGAAAUUUUAGUUAGAAAAACUAUAACAGUGUAGACGGAACAAAAUGAGGGCUAGACAGAAAAAAGAAGCAACAAAAAAUUAAUGGCUAGACACCAUUGCUCCCUUUCAUCACUUGAAAAAUUUGUCUUAAGCUAUAUAUAGGGACAAAGAAUUGAGACAAAUAGUUUAACUUAAUGCAGUAAAUCACAGUCUGUUAUUUGUUCUGCUCUUAGCAAAAGGCUCCCAUUCAAAUGAACCAAAUAUCUAGCUACUUCCUAUACUAAAUGAUAGGAGAUAUGAAUUACUCAUCAAGAAUAAGGACAAUUUGUAUGAAUUUUCCAGUUAAGGCCCUGCAAUAUCACCUGUUAAAUUUCUUAUUACUUAUUGAUCAAAGAGGUCCAAAAACAAACUUAUACGUUCACAAUUCCAUUCACACGUUUGCUAAGGUUUACCAUGCUAGGAGUAUUAGAAAUGGGCAGAGUGUUGCCAUCAAAGUCAUAUCCAAGGAAAAAGUUCUAAGAGGUGGACUUGUGAAUUAGAUCAAACGGAAUAUAUCUGUUAUGAGACUAAUCAGACAUCCUAAUAUCGUACACCUUUACGAAGUCAUGGCCACUAAAACCAAGAUUUAUUUCGGGAUGGAGUAUGAUAAAGGAGGUGAACUCUUUAACAAGGUAGCGAAAGGAAGAUUAAAGAGGACGUUGCACGAAGUUAUUUUCAACCGUUGAUAAAUGCUGUAGAUUUUUGCCAUAGCAGGGGUGUCUAUCACUGGGAUUUGAAACUGAAAACUUACUGUUAAACGACGAUGAAAACUUAAAAAUUUAAGAUUUUGGUUUAAGUUCUCUUGUCGAGUCAAAGCACUAAGACGGACUCCUACACACUACGUGCGGGACUCCAGCCUAUGUUGCUCCAGAGGUAAUCAAUUGAAAAGGCUACAAUGGUGCAAACACUGAUAUUUGGUCAUGUGGGGUUGUCCUAUUCGUGAUACUGGAAUAGAUGAUUGAAAAGGACUUGCACUCUACGGAACACCAAAAGGUGUAGUAGCAGGCCUUGAGGGAAAGGUUGGUCGAUUAGGAUAUUCGGUGCCCAUGGUCACAAAGGACCGCUUCCUGAUGUUUUUCCACCAAAACAAACAAAAAGGAAUGUUAUUAUUAUAUUAGCACAAAAAAAAAAGCAAUGCAAGACUUAUACAUCAGCCGAAAAUAGUAGGAAAGCAAAAUAUUUGCAGAGUUAAAGUACAAUGCAAGAAUGCAAAAGGGAAAAAGGGCAAAAAGGAAAGAUAAGGACAAAGGAUAAGAAAAACAUCUCUGUCUAAGUAGAUAAAUACUUCACCGAAAGCUAUUUUCAUUUUGUCAAUGAGCAGUCCGACGAGUUUGACAGCAGAUAAGGAAUAGUUCUGAGAAAGAGGGACAGGGCAAAGGGAAAUAUCAGUUGCAUUUCCUUAAGUUUCCUACUGCGCAGAGAAUCUGUUUCGAGUAGCUAAAAUACCCAUUUCAUGGUGUGCAGUUUCAUCCCCUUGACAUAUACAUCUUUGACGAAACCGCCUCGUCCCACAGCUGUCUCACAUCUUGAAUUCCACCUGAAAUUUCACUUCCUAGUGCUAUUGCUGCACUGUAAGGUGAAAUGCAUGUGAGGCGUCUGAUGAUUAGAUGACUUGUCGGCAUUCCAUAUUUUAUACCUCAUUCAUCCCAGCCACUUUUGACUGCUACACAGUCAUCUCCAGAUACAAUGUAGAGAUGCGAAGAUGUUCUUAUAGAUUGAAUUACUGAUAUUUCCUUACAUGUACCGGUUUUUUUAAUUUUAAUGAACUAUCAAUUAUAUUGAAUUUAUUUACACUCUGUAUAAAAACUAAAUGGCUAGGAUCUAGCUUCAGCAAAUACAGAGGAAAAGCAAAAAAUGGCUAGGAUUCCAAAUUUGAAUGCAUUUGAUGUCAUUUCCCUUUAUGUUAAGUAUAAUUUAUCCAGAUUAUUUGAGGAACCUUAAAGAAUGAAGCUAAAUUCAUAUCCUGGAAACCAGCAUCCGACAUCGUGUCCAAGCUGGACGAUACCGCUAAAUGCCUUAAACUAAAUGAAGGCCUAAGACCAGGUCUUCAUGAUAUUGUUUGGACAUGGCAAGAAGGAAAAAAACCUCAGCAAUCAGAAAAUCAAUAUGUAACCAACCCCUAAGAAGCAGUAGCACAAGAGUUCAAACUAGAGAUGAACCUAGAAGCCAGGAGACUACUUUAUCAAAUAGAACUUUUACCUUGUAUGUGCAUUUUUUAAGCAUUCAUCGUCCAUUAAAUGUUAUUACUGAUGUCCUCAACAAUAUAUUUGUAUCAAUACAUUAUUAUCACUUUCAAUAACUAGCAUCUCCGGUAUGAGUUAUCGAACUUCAACCACUAGCGUACAUUAACAAAUCAGUAAUAAGACAAAUAACUAUGCACAACCAGUAAAUUCAUAAUCAACAGCAGAUAUAAAUUCUGCAAAGGAUAUAUAAUAACAUACACUUAAAUCAACAAAUAAAUUGAUGUUUCAGGUAAGUUGUUACUCACUUGGUAUCAUCAAGGAUCCGAAUAGUCAUUCUCCUGAACUGGAAGCUGGAAAUUAGUUUGUUGCGCUAAUAAUAAUUCUUUUAAUUGCCUCACUUAUUUCAUCUCAUUUUCGAAGUUAGACAGACGAUUCUUCAAAGACUGGUUUUCAUUUUCAGCUGCACGUAGCUUAGCCAAUAAUUCAGUUUUUGAGGAAGCUCCACCUUUCAAAUCUUUCGCCUUUACUCUAUCCCCAAACCAAAUAUAUGACUACAACUGUGAUGACCUAAAAUAUCAUCUUUAAAUCUAAUAAUUAAUUCUAUAUUCUAAGACCUCAAAAAGCACUAUUUGUCACUCCUCGACUUGUGUGCGAAGUCCGUAAAAUUUUCCGGAAUGUUUUUAUGAGAAAAAUGGAUUAAAAUGUGAACUAGAGCCUUAAAACUCAACUGAGUUGACUUUGGUCAACAUUUUGAGCAAACGGGCCCGGAUCAGUAUUUUGACAGUUCCGGUAGGUCUGUAUCAUGAUUUGGGACUUGGGUGUAUGCCCGUAAUUUAAUUUGAAGGUUCCUAACUCAAGUUACAAUUUAACGAAAACUAGUAAUUUAAAGGCUAAAGAUUUUCAAGUUUGACCACGGAAUUGACUUUUUGAUAUUGGAGUCGGAAUCCAGUUCCGAAAAUUUGUAUAGCUCAGUUAUGUUAUUUAUGACUUGUGUGCAAAAUUUGAGGUCAAUCAGACUUGAUUCGAUAGGUUUCGGCAUCAAAUGUAGAAGUUGAAAAUUUCAUAAUAGACUAAGGUUUCAAGUGAGUUCGCAUAAGACCUAACUUCAAACGAGAAUACCUCUCUUGGUAUGAAGAUUUAUAUGGUGUAUUACCUAUCAAAAGAAAGGUCUAUGUGUCUAGUUUCCAAAACUUCAACCGUUUGUCAUUUGGACAUUCCUACAAGACAUUAUGACCAAAUUACCAAAGGCUGUCAGAAGGCGAUUCUGCGACCAAUUAUGCGAGCAUUAUGCGAUCGCAAAAUGGUCGCAAAUUGAUCCAGUACAGCCCAGUUCUGGGCACCGAUUUGUGCGAUCAUUGUGUGACCUGUACACCAAUUGUGCGGUCCAUUGUGCGACCGCAUAACUGAGUUCGGAGGGUUAAUUUUCCUAUUUUCAUAACCCGACCCCAUUUUGAUAAAUAGGCUUUGGGGUUUAUUUUGGAGCAAUUAUCUGAGGGUUUUUAGAGAUAAGUGAGAGUAUUCUAGAGAGAGGAAGUAAAUGAAGUCUUUUGUUCAUCAAAUUCUUGUUCAAGCCUUGAAAUCCAACAAGAAAUCCCUCAAGUUCUUCAUCCAAGAGGUAAGGUUCUAACUCCUAAUCUUCAAUUUCGAGUUUGGGUAAUGAUGGGGGAUUAAGAGUAUGAUUCUUGGAGUAAGUGUUCCUUAUCCUAUAUUCAUUAUAUUUCAUGAUUCCAUAUUCAUUUACAUCAUGAAUCCGUGAAUUUAGGGAAGAAAAAUCAGAUUUUUAUAAAAUCUUCCAAAAACGAAAAUUUAAGAUUUGAAGGUUCAUUUGAUAUCGGAAUUGGAUAAUUUUUGUAUGGUUGAACUCGUAGCGGAACGGGUGUUUGGAUUUCGCGAGUUUUUCCGGGAUUUUAUGAUGUGGAUCCCACUGUCGAAUAUUUAAAUGAAUUUCGGAUUUUUAUCCGAACAAUUAGUAAAUUCAUAUGGAAUUAAUUCCUAUGAUUCGUAUUGAGUAUAUCGAAUUGUUUGUGAAUAGAUUUGAAGCUUUUGGAGAUAAACUUAAAAGGAAAAGCUGUGGUCGAGUAAUUGAUUGGAAUUUACAAAGCGAGAUAAGGGUCGUGGUUAACCUUGACUUGAGGGAAUAGAACCCUUAAAUUAUUUGUUAUGUGAAAUGCAGGUGAACGACGUAUAGGUGAGGUGACAAGUGUCUAUACGUCGUCAAAUUAAUUGUUUGCAUACUUACUUGAAAAAUCAUAAAUUGUUUUAAAUCAUGAAUUAAUUGUUAUAAUAAUUGUUUCUCUCCUAUUCUUUGUCAAAUAUUAAUUCUUGAAUUCAUGCAUUAAUUGUUACAUGCUAUUUGAAUUAUGUCUCUUAAUUGUUAUUUGACAUUUAGCAUAUUAAAUAUUAAACUGCCUAUUUUCUCCCUGAUUUUCAUAAUAACUUGUUAUUUGUCAUUGUUUGUUUCUUAAUUAAAUCAUAAUUAUUGUAUGUUUGUUGUCUUAUAAUUUUAUAUUAAUUAUUGCAUUUAUUGGGGAAAUUUCUUCUAUAAGAAUUGGUAAAUGAAUAUAUUAGUGGAGCGGGUUGCACGCCGCAACAGAACUGAAUUGGUAAAUGUAUAUAUUGGAGGAGCGGGUUGCACGCUGCAACAGAAUUGAUCGAAAUGAAUAUACUGGGGGAUCGGGUUGCACGCCGCAACAGACUUUAUAAAAGCCCAUAUUGGAGGAUCNNNNNNNNNNNNNNNNNNNNNNNNNNNNNNNNNNNNNNNNNNNNNNNNNNNNNNNNNNNNNNNNNNNNNNNNGCAACAGACUUAUUAAAAGUCCAUAUUGGAGGAUCGGGUUGCACGUAGCAACAGACUUAUUAAAAGUCCAUAUUGGAGGAUCGGGUUGCACGCCGCAACAGACUUGAUUAAAAUGAAUAUAUUGGAGGAGCGGGUUGCACGCCGCAAUAGAAUUGAAUGUGAGUAUAUUGAGAGAGCGGUUUGCACGCUGCAACGGAAAUUGAUGAAAAUGAUAUUUGGUUAUGACUGUUGAGUUGACUUCAAUUAUUAUAAAUGAGUUACCUGAUUAUUUCUACUAUUUGUUGUCGUUAUUAAUAUUGCGUACAAGUUAAUGUAAGUGACCCGCCUUAGCCUCGUCACUACUUCGUCGAGGCUAGGCUUAGCACUUACUAGUACAUGGGGUCGGUUGUACUGAUACUACACUCUGCACUUCUUGUGCAGAUUUCGGAGUUGGUCCCAGUGACGUACCAUAGACUUGCUCGAAUUUCAGCUACUCAGAGGAGACUUGAGGUAUAACUGCACGACGUUCGCAGUUCUGAAGCCCCCGUCUACUUUACUUUAGCUGUGUGUUUGUUUCCAGACAACUUUAUUUUAUUCAGACCUUUAUUUGUAUUAUUCUAGAAGCUCGUGCACUUGUGACACCAAUUCUAGGAUGGUAUUUAGACACCGCUGUCUUUUUAUGGAUUAUUCACUACAUUUCAGACUUUACUUCCGCAUUUGUUUAUUUGUUAUUAAUAAAUUUUAAAAAAAAAUAUUUUAAAAUGGAUAAUAUUAUUCUAACAUUGGCUUGCCUAGCAAGUGAAAUGUUAGGCGCCAUCACGGUCCGAAUGUGGGAAUUUCGGGUCGUGACAACAACUUUGAGGUCCAAAGCAUUUUUCUACAAUCUCUAUGCUAGGAAGUGACGGUUCGGACUACACCAAUUCCUGGAUUUGAGCCUACAAAGUAUAUAGAGAAUUUUUGUCAGAUCCCAUAAUAACUAAAAGUAAAGAACAUCUUUCAAUUAACCAAACGCACAUGUUUCUCGAUUGUUUCUGGAUCGACAAGUGUGUUAUUCUUCUUGCGACUCUCGAAGAAAAUGGUUGCCAAAUCAGAUGGUUUGCCAUCUUUUCCACCCUUUAUAUAAAAGUAAAUACGCCAAAUAACGUCUCGUCAAUAUUAAGAAAAAAUAGAUUUGAUAAUAACACCUUUUGAUAAAUAAUUUCUCUAAUUGGCUUGCUACCAAUAUGAUAAAGCAUCUUCAAUUUAGUUCUAUUUGCUGCAUUCCUGUUACUUCUUGUCAAUAUUUGAGUAACAAUAUUAAAUUCAAAUGCUAUAAAUAAACUAUAAGUUAAAAGAUAAUAUUAUAAAAUAAAAUUACACAACUAGGUAUUAUGUCAAACCUGAAAACUCUCAAUAGAAAAAUGUUCCUUUACCAACCACUCCCCUUAAUUCUUGUCUACCCCCUUGGGAACAUUCUUAAGAGCCUCUUAUAUUGACUUACCCUUCACAUACUUUGCAUGAAAUUGGCCUCUCCAUUUGUUCCAUAACUCUUUCAUCCAUCCCAAAAUAUGAUUGCGAUGAAUAUCCAUGUCAUCACUCUCAAAUUUAUCCUACAAUAUAUCAUGAGGGAAAUAUAGGUUGAUAUCCAAUAUCAUCACAGAAACUCCAUGUGAUAGAGGAAAAUAUAGUUCUACAAUGAGACUUGAAAUGAUCUGGCCAAAUUAUAAAAUAAAAAAAUAAAAAUAAAAAUCUUAGCUUUAUUUUAUUUUUGUGAAUUUAAAACAUAGAACUCCCAAUUUUAUUUUAUUUUUGUGGAAAAUGUGAUAAGAACUCAAUAAUUAAGUACCAAGAAUGGUAAGAAAAGAGGAAUCAAAGAAGAAAUUUGAAUAAUCUAUCUAGUUACCGUAUUGCAUAACUUAAUCAGUAGAUGGAGAAAAUGGAAUCAAAGUGGAAAGCUUUGAACAUUUCGAAUUUUGGUAUAGUGGCUUUUCGAAAUCUUUCAAUGGGCUGUAAAACAUUUUGGCCUCAACAUUCGGUUCAUCUCCAAGUAAAUCAUUAUAACGAACGUCCGCAGUGCCUUCAUCAUGAUUAGGAUAUAAAUCCCUCAGCAUUUCAUGUAUUUCAUCCUCAUCCUCAUAGUCUUCUACUUCAUUAUCAUCUUCAACUUCGCAUUCCAACUGUGGUACUUUUUACUCUGCUGAAGGUCAGCAAGUUGCUACAGGGAUCGAGCUGAUUAAAGGGGUUUUGGUUUUGACUAAUGAUGGACAAAAAGGAUUUGAUGAUAAGGUAGCUUCAGGUGAUCGAAUAACUGUGCAAGAGGAUGGUUUGAAUCGAGCAAACAAUGGUAGUAAGCAGCAAUGAGUUACACUGGUGACUCAAUAAGGUAACAGUGAUCGAGUUGUUGUCGAUCAAGUAGCGCAUGAUGUAAUGCCUGAAGCUAUUGUUGCUAUCAGUGGUGACAUUACUGUUGCUUCAGGUCAAGUUGAAGCAGGGCAAAAGAUUGAGGGUGUAGGUGUGGAGAAGGUCAAGUAAAAGCCAACUGGAGAGGAUAGGAGGUUGAAGGAUAUUCAUGAUGCUACGAUUUUCACAAGGAUGUACACAGCUACUGCUGGUGCAUUGAAUGCUGCUACUGAUCGAGCUAAUACCUCAAACAAACCUGAUAUGGUUCAAGAACAGGUUGGGGCAUCUGGUAAUGUGAAGGAGUUACAAGAUCAUCAGUUGGUGAAAGAAGUAGCAGCGUUGGUGAAGUCUCAAAAUCAAAGUCCUACUGCUGCAAUGAAGUUUUCAAAGGAUAGGAGUUCAAGUUUGAAGGUUGUUAAUGCUGUGAAUACAAUUGGUAUGGAUGCUUUAGAUGGUACACUUGCUACAGGUGAUGAGGUAGAUGUUCGGCAAGUUCAAAAACCAGUAGUUGAUCAUCCCACUGCUGGUGCACAAACAACUGGUCGUGACGGGGCAGAAGUGGUUGUCAAUGUUGCUGAUUUGGAUGAGGCUGCUGAUCGAUCAAAUAUAAUUAAAAAAGUGAAUGUUGAAGCUAGGCAAUCAGGCAACCCUAAAGAAACAGAGGCUAAUGUGAAGGCUGGUGUUUUGAUGCAACAGGAAAGGAAAACUCUGGACAUGAAAGUGUUCGAGUUGCUGCAAAUUCCAGCAGCCGAUUCUGAUGGGAAUAUUGGUGCAUCUAUAGCUAGUUUGAAUGCCUAUAAAUUGGGCAAUAAUGAGAAGGAAAAUGUGGAGGAAGGCUGGACCAAAAUAGCUUGCAAAAAGACAGCUGCAACACAAACCAUAGUGUGUGUACAUGUAAUUGUUUUGCAGAAAUUUUUAUUUUCCUAUAUUGUCAGCUUUAUUCAAACCAAAAGUUUAAAGGGACAUCAUCUCUUGACCACUCGUAAAUAUUUAAGCUUGGUUAGACUACUAAAGACAACACCGUAUAAGCCAAAAGUUUACAAGUAAUGUAUGUUAUGUGUUUAAAAAGAAGGAACAUGAGCUCAAGAGACUUGAAGGUCAUAGAAUUGGAAGAAGAAAAAAAAAAUGAAAAUGAAAUCACAAAGUAUCAAAAAAGUGUUGGCAACAAUGUAACGAUGGAGUUGGCUUUAAGAAGAGUCCAGUUAAAUCAAUUGCAUACGAACGCAACAUAAUAUAUCGAUAUGUUACAUUGCUAAUUUACAUCACUAUUUAUCUUCAUCUAAGUUUUUAAAAUAUUAGAUUUAGGUAAUUAGUUUGCUAUAAAAUUUUAAGAACCCAUAAAAAUCAUGGUAAAGAAACUGCACUAGAGCACAUAAUGGUAAAACAAUUCAACCAAUUCAUCACCUCAUAUGAAAACCCACAAGACAUCCUACAAAAUUUUCAUGAUAGAGAUAGAGAGAUGCAAAGAACUGGAAGGACUCUUAACUAGAAGUGCGCCUCCAUUAUGACUAUAAGCUCUGUUAAUCUUUUGAUUCUUCGCCCAGGUAUCGGCUUCAUCUUUUAACUUUUUCUUCUUUAAUUUUCUUGUAUACAUACACACACUCCCUCUCUUUUUCUGUUUUUGGAUGCUUUGGAAUCUCAGAUCAUUAAAUUCUGCAAUGUGAUUCACUCCAUUUUUGCUAGAUUUUAUGUCAAAGCAUUUGAAUUCCAACUAAAGUCUCCAUCUUUUUCUUUAAAUUACAGGUUUUAUUUAUUGAAUAAGCCCAUAGCUAUGGAGUUAGGGGAUAACAAGAUUUUUGAACGUAGGGAUGCUGCUAGCAACGACUCUAUUGGGAGCCCAACUCAUGACCCUUCAAGAAAGUCCCUAGAAGAAUUGUAUAAUGCAAAUCGCAAAGGAGAAAACCAUCGCAGAGACGAAACUCUACAAGAAAAACUCAAAUUUCUCAUCCUUGACCUACGAGCCCCGUCUUUAUACCAAUAUUCUCACUUUUAUCACUCACACAAUAACUAUCAAUACUCUAAACAACCCAAUUGCAGAAAAAAACUAAAGAAACAGAAUAUUACUGAACCCGAUUUUUAAUUUCUGGUUCAAUCAGAAAAAAAAAACAAGAAGAAGAAAAAAGGAAACGAAACAGAUAAAAGAGAAAGAAAUUAAACUUACUCUUGAUUAGGCAGAUAAUCCAAUGGUAGAGUUUGUGAAAAGUAUCGAAAUUUGAUGCCAACCUUCUGAGUUUGGAGUGAUAAAUUUUGCAACCUUCUAAGUUUUGACUGAUGAAGUUUGCAACCUUCUGAACUUUGAAGAGAAUUGAAUUCGCCUCUUAAUUAGGGAUUGUAGCGUGAAAGUGAAUUUUUGGAAGAGAUUUUAGGGUGAAAGUGAAUUUCUGGAGGGAUUUUACCAUGAAAAUAUAUUUUUGGAGGUUUGUUUUUACUUUACUUUCAGAUCCCCGCCCCCGUCCCGCUAAAAUGAGUAUUAGAGACCAGAUAUUAAAUUUUAUUUAGAUCAAG
rnacentral:lncRNA from 1 species